rnacentral:rRNA from 1 species
CAGUAGCCGCGGGAAUACGUAGGGUGCGAGCGUUAAUCGGAAUUACUGGGCGUAAAGCGUGCGCAGGCGGUUCGUUAAGACAGAUGUGAAAUCCCCGGGCUUAACCUGGGAACUGCAUUUGUGACUGGCGAGCUAGAGUAUGGCAGAGGGGGGUAGAAUUCCACGUGUAGCAGUGAAAUGCGUAGAGAUGUGGAGGAAUACCGAUGGCGAAGGCAGCCCCCUGGCCAAUACUGACGCUCAUGCACGAAAGCGUGGGGAGCAAACAGGAUUAGAUACCCCUGUAGUCCCUGUCUCUUAUACA